ACCUACGGGACGCAGCAGUGGGGAAUCUUGCGCAAUGGGCGAAAGCCUGACGCGGCCAUGCCGCGUGAAUGAUGAAGGUCUUAGGAUUGUAAAGUUCUUUCGCUCGUGACGAUGAUGACGGUAACGAGAGAAGAAGCCCCGGCUAACUUCGUGCCAGCAGCCGCGGUAAUACGAAGGGGGCUAGCGUUGUUCGGAAUUACUGGGCGUAAAGCGCGCGUAGGCGGCUUUGCAAGCCAGAGGUGAAAUGCCUGAGCUCAACUUAGGAAUUGCCUUUGGGACUGCGAGGCUUCGAGGACUGGAGAGGUAAGUGGAAUUCCCAGUGUAGAGGUGAAAUUCGUAGAUAUUGGGAAGAACACCGGUGGCGAAGGCGGCUCACUGGCCAGUUUCUGACGCUAAAGCGCGAAAGCGUGGGGAUCAAACAGGAUUAGAUACCCUAGUAGUCC
rnacentral:rRNA from 1 species